AAAGUGUUAUUUGACUGGAGUGAGGUCUCAUGUCUGCUUAUGCGGUGGCUCGCUGCUCAGAACAGGGAGGAAGAGGGUAAUCUGGAAGAGUUUCCUGACCUACUCUGCUGCUGUGAUUAAACAACCACCAGGAAAUUUUGAUGACACUGUUCUCCUGAGCUCCUCCCUUUCCUCGGGGAAGAAAAGCAUUGAAACUACAAAAAUAAAGUGUUAUUUGGCUGGAGUGAGGUCUCAUGUCUGCUUAUGCGGUGGCUCGCUGCUCAGAACAGGGAACCAUUGGAGAUACUCAUUACUCUUUGAAGGCUUACAGUGGAAUGAAUUCAAAUACGACUUAUUUGAGGAAUUGAAGUUGACUUUAUGGAGCUGAUAAGAAUCUUCUUGGAGAAAAAAAGACUGGGUAUAUUUUCAAUAUGCUUUCCUUUUAAGGUCCCUCACCUGUGGAAAGUAAAGAAUGUCACUUUCUGACAGGCUCAGGAACCUCAAGUUAUGUAGGGAUCUCAAGAAGAUGGGGGAAUUCACCCAGUUCAUACAGGUGAAAUUGCUGUUGCAAAGAUUAUGAAUAUGAGAGAAGUCCAGCAUGGCUGACUUCAUCUCGUGUCUGGCCUCAGGCUGGCUGCCCUUGCUCACUCUUGGGCAUAGGCCAAGCUAGCCAUGGGAGGAAUUUAGUUUAUAGUUUAACUUUGAAGCACGGAUGAUAAUAGUCUCUCCCUAAAAUGAACCCCUUCCUUGCUCAGGGACUGAAACUACCUUUGUAUGACAAAUGAAAGCCCACAAGAUUAAGAUUAUGAGAGGGGCCUGAAUUCUGCUAAAAUGCAGGUGUAGCUGACUGAUAACAAGUCAUUGUCCCACAGCUUGCCUUUCUAUAAUCUCUUGCUUCUCAGGAGUCACAUGGCCAGAGGUCCUGAGAUUUCCAGUCCUGUGACCCCCACCCAGAGAUGGACUUAGUGCAUGAGGACCAUUUUCCACACCCCUAUGAUUUCAUCCUCAAACAAUCAGCAGCAACCAUUCCCUAGCCCCCUGCCUUCCAAAUUAUCCAUAAAAAUCCUAGCCUCUGAGUUAUUA
rnacentral:lncRNA from 10 species